rfam:Rattus norvegicus chromosome 1, whole genome shotgun sequence.
GGGGAUUUAGCUCAGUGGUAGAGCGCUUGCCUAGCAAGCGCAAGGCCAUGGGUUCAGUCCCCA